rnacentral:rRNA from 1 species
UGCGUAGGCGGAAUAUUAAGUCAGUGGUGAAAUCCUGCGGCUCAACCGUAGAACUGCCAUUGAUACUGAUGUUCUUGAAUGUAGUUGAAGUAGGCGGAAUGUGUAAUGUAGCGGUGAAAUGCUUAGAUAUUACACAGAACACCGAUUGCGAAGGCAGCUUGCUAAACUAUGAUUGACGCUGAUGCACGAAAGCGUGGGGAGCGAACAGGAUUAGAUACCCUGGUAGUCC